rnacentral:lncRNA from 10 species
AGCCAGAGCUGACUUAUCACCAAGGGGAUGGCCUAAGCCGUUCAUGGGCGAUCUAUCUCAUCAUGCAAACACCUCCCAUCAGGCCCGACCUCCAGCACUGGAGACUACAAUUCAACCUGAGAUUUGGGCAGGGACACACAUUCAAACUAUAUUACUUUCUUCCCGGCAAGAAGCAGAGCGGGAAAUGGUAAGAAGAUGGUAUUGUAGUAGCCUCCACUGGGUGGACUUCUGGAAGGCGCAAGCGGCCCCUGAAGGGCCCUGGAGCCAUUUUAGAAUCGCUCAUAAUAAAACUGGAUGGAAACACAACAGAGUAUGUAAUUGAGUUCCUCGACUUCACAGAUGAGGAGACCGAGGGCCGUUCAACUAAGAUCACGCGGGUAGAAAGUGGCUGUCUUGUGGCUGUCCCGUGAUUCAACAUAGAUUUUUGGCAUCUAGUUUGGUGGCUUUUUUUUCUACCACACUUCUCAUCUGCCUUACGCCCGGCAGCCCUGAGCCUGACACGCCUACAGACUGAAGGAUGGAGGAGAGACAGGCUUGCAUCCUGCAGAGUCUAGCAGAGGCCCUGGGUCACUUUGCUUCCCAGAGGCACAUCCGAUUUCCCAUACUUGUUGUAAGAGAAACUAAAGUCGUCCAGUUCCAGUGGUGCUUCAGAGCCCAACAGACUCCCCCAGCGUGGCCAAUAUUCAGCUGGCCUGGGAUCUUCUGGGCGGUGCCACUGUGCUAGGCUGCAGACCUGACUUUUUGGCCGAAAAGACAAAAGAUGGUCUCUUCCACUCAUUAGUUAUGAGAGUUCUGACAACCCAUGUAACUUCUAUGAGCCCCCGUGUUCUUAUCUGUACAAUAAUCUAUACUCUUCUUACAUCAAUUAGUCGCUAGAACAAAAAUAAAAUGUCUGCUAUGAAAAGUCCA